CCUACGGGAUGCACCAGUGGGGAAUAUUGCACAAUGGGCGCAAGCCUUAUGCAGCCAUGCCGCGUGUAUGAAGAAGGCCUUCGGGUUGUAAGGUACUUUCAGCGGGGAGAAAGGUGUUGUGGUUAAUAACCACAGCAAUUGACGUUACCCGCAGAAGAAGCACCGGCUAACUCCGUGCCAGCAGCCGCGGUAAUACGGAGGGUGCAAGCGUUAAUCGGAAUUACUGGGCGUAAAGCGCACGCAGGCGGUCUGUCAAGUCGGAUGUGAAAUCCCCGGGCUCAACCUGGGAACUGCAUUUGAAACUGGCAGGCUAGAGUCUUGUAGAGGGGGGUAGAAUUCCAGGUGUAGCGGUGAAAUGCGUAGAGAUCUGGAGGAAUUCCGGUGGCGAAGGCGGCCCCCUGGACAAAGACUGACGCUCAGGUGCGAGAGCGUGGGGAGCAAACAGGAUUAGAUACCCCUGUAGUC
rnacentral:rRNA from 1 species